rnacentral:rRNA from 1 species
CCUACGGGGGGCAGCAGUGGGGAAUAUUGGACAAUGGACAAGUCUGAUCCAGCAAUUCUGUGUGCACGAUGACGUUUUUCGGAAUGUAAAGUGCUUUCAGUUGGGAAGCGGUACCAACAGAAGAAGUGACGGCUAAAUACGUGCCAGCAGCCGCGGUAAUACGUAUGUCACAAGCGUUAUCCGGAUUUAUUGGGCGUAAAGCGCGUCUAGGUGGUUAUGUAAGUCUGAUGUGAAAAUGCAGGGCUCAACUCUGUAUUGCGUUGGAAACUGCAUGACUAGAGUACUGGAGAGGUAAGCGGAACUACAAGUGUAUAGGUGAAAUUCGUAGAUAUUUGUAGGAAUGCCGAUGGGGAAGCCAGCUUACUGGACGAACUGACGCUAAAGCGCGAAAGCGUGGGUAGCAAACAGGAUUAGAUACCCUUGUAGUC